GGUCCCGGACGGGCGUGCGGGAGGGGAACUGGGCUGAGGGAGGCUUUGGGGGGCUUCGCCCCCUGCCGCUCCGGGGCCUAUCCUCAACCGUCAAGUUGAAACUGCACUAUUAUUUCUUCUUCAGACGCUGAAGGGUGGAGCGAUAAAUAUCUCCCAGCAAAAUGUUCAGAGACGGUGGGCGCCGAGAACUAAUGCGAUCUGCGCUUAAAGCUCCGACGGCCCGGAGAAUGAGUUUCCCAAGCGGCAUAUGCGGGAUAUUUAAGAAAAAAGAGGGCUCUGUGACAGGAACAGAGGGACCCGUGUCAAAGUCGAACAAGGCAGCCUCAGUUCUUGCGGGCCUGUCACAAUUCUGGCGUUGCCAUCUGUUAGGAAAGCAAACUUGUGUUGACUGCAGAGUUGCCGGUUCCCAGGAAAACUGGGUGGCAGUCUACUCAGUUUCAGGCCAAUGCAUUCCAAACACACUGGGAAGAGUAGUUUUAUUUCCGUGCACCUCCUCUCCACGUCAAGUUUAACCAAAAAACUGGUCUCAGUGUUUCACAAAAAUAGCAAGUCUCUCUGGGCUGAAGAAUCAGACGAAUUUAAUUAGAUGAUUUCUCAACUAUUCCUCCACCAAAAUGAAAUUUACAUGUUUCUGCAGGCUUACAGAGGUGUUAGAGAAAUCCCCACUUUCAGUAUCUCUCUGAAUGAUGGCCGUAACCGGUGAUCCAAGCAGCAUUUCUCUUGCUGGGAAUGUAUUGCUGCAAAUUGGUUAAAAUAACAGCCUUGGCAUCAGACUAGACCUGGAUUCGAGUUCCAUCUCUGCCAAUUAUAGGCUGAUUGACCUUAAACGAGUUCCUUAUCCUUCUUUAGCGUUAGUUUCCUCAGCUGUAAAACACGGGAAAGAAAUCCUGUUGUAAUAUGAGGGUGGUUGUGAUGCUUCAGUGAGGAGUACUUUGAAACAAAACCAGAAUCUCAGACAUUCUGUAAGACAGCCCAGACUCUUCAUAAACAUCAUUGUCAUGAAAAACAAACCAAUCAAAAAAAGGAAAUGCAAGCUGAAAUACUCAAGGAUAAAAAAACCAUCACUUCUGCAACUUAUAUUCAAAUGGUUCAUCACUUCUGCACCUUAUAUUCAAAUGGUUCAGCAAAAGACAGAGAAAGGAGAGAAAUAUAAACUAAAUAUUAGCAAUUAGAUCUAGGUGAAGACAUCUCUCUUAUUCUUGUACUAUACUAUUCAUGUAUUAUUCUUUUACAUUUGCUAGAAAUUUAGAAUAUUUCAGAAUAAAAAGUAGUGAAGAAAAUCACUCUGUAGACUUCCAUGUCUGACAGUAGUAAAGCAGAUUCCCUGUUCAACUCUCCCACUGAAAACAACUAAAACAACUUAAAAUGCUUUUAAAUAUUUUUUAAAAAAUAGAAAAUUUAUUAAUGAACCAGCAUUCGGAUUAGGAUUACUCAGAAGCUAGGAACUAGUAAAAUAGAUUAGCAGAGGAACUUGAGUUUUAGUUGUCAUGGUCUCAUGAAGCAUGGAAAAAGGAGACAAAGGUCAAAUCCUACCAAGAUGAGGAAUCCAAUGAGAGACUCCACACAUAGGUCAGGAUCCCCUAGAUCUUUUCUUACUGUCUUUUACCAGAAGACAACAAAAGAAAAUUACCUGUAAUCAUCCUUAGCAUAGAAUGAAAGAGGAAAUAUCUCCUCUGAGAUUUUUUUUUUAAUUUUUUUUUCCAACGUUUAUUUAUUUUUGGGACAGAGAGAG